GAUAGGAUGGCUGAGAUUUAGGCGGUAGAUUGUAAAUCUAUGAACAAGUGUGAAAAACUUUCUUAUCA
rnacentral:tRNA from 1 species